AGCAGCCGCGGUAAUUCCAGCUCCAAUAGCGUAUAUUAAAGUUGUUGCAGUUAAAAAGCUCGUAGUUGAAUUUCGGGAUCAAUACGUCGGUCGCGCUUCGGUACGUACUGGCGUCAUUGAUUUCUCCCUUCUGACGAACCAUGAUGUCAUUAACUUGGUGUCAUGGGAAAUCAGGACUGUUACUUUGAAAAAAUUAGAGUGUUUAAAGCAGGCUCACGCUUGAAUACAUUAGCAUGGAAUAAUGAAAUAGGACGUUCGAUCCUAUUUUGUUGGUUUUUAGGAUCAACGUAAUGAUUAAUAGGGAUAGUUGGGGGCAUUAGUAUUCAAUUGUCAGAGGUGAAAUUCUUGGAUUUAUUGAAGACUAACUACUGCGAAAGCAUUUGCCAAGGAUGUUUUCAUUAAUCAAGAACGAAAGUUAGGGGAUCGAAGACGAUCAGAUACCGUCGUAGUCUUAACCAUAAACUAUGCCGACUAGGGAUCGGAUGAUGUUAAUUUUUUAAUGACUCAUUCGGCGCCUUAC
rnacentral:rRNA from 1 species